AGAGUUUGAUCCUGGCUCAGAUUGAACGCUGAGGCUUAACACUGCAGUCGAACGGCAGCAUGGAAGAGCUUGCUCUUCUGAUGGCGAGUGGCGAACGGGUGAGUAAAGCAUCGGAACGUACCGUGUAGUGGGGGAUAACGUAGCGAAAGUUACGCUAAUACCGCAUACGCACUGAGGUGGAAAGCAGGGGAUCGCAUGACCUUGCGCUAUACGAGCGGCCGAUGUCAGAUUAGCUAGUUGGUAGGGUAAAGGCCUACCAAGGCGACGAUCUGUAGCGGGUCUGAGAGGAUGAUCCGCCACACUGGGACUGAGACACGGCCCAGACUCCUACGGGAGGCAGCAGUGGGGAAUUUUGGACAAUGGGCGAAAGCCUGAUCCAGCCAUGCCGCGUGAGUGAAGAAGGCCUUCGGGUUGUAAAGCUCUUUCGGCUGGGAAGAAAUCGCACAGGCUAAUACUCUGUGUGGAUGACGGUACCAGCACAAGAAGCACCGGCUAACUACGUGCCAGCAGCCGCGGUAAUACGUAGGGUGCGAGCGUUAAUCGGAAUUACUGGGCGUAAAGCGCGCGCAGGCGGUUGUGCAAGACAGAUGUGAAAUCCCCGGGCUCAACCUGGGAACUGCAUUUGUGACUGCACGACUAGAGUACGGCAGAGGGGGGUAGAAUUCCACGUGUAGCAGUGAAAUGCGUAGAGAUGUGGAGGAAUACCGAUGGCGAAGGCAGCCCCCUGGGCCGAUACUGACGCUCAUGCACGAAAGCGUGGGGAGCAAACAGGAUUAGAUACCCUGGUAGUCCACGCCCUAAACGAUGUCAACUAGUUGUUGGUAGGGUUAAACCUAUUAGUAACGUAGCUAACGCGUGAAGUUGACCGCCUGGGGAGUACGGUCGCAAGAUUAAAACUCAAAGGAAUUGACGGGGACCCGCACAAGCGGUGGAUGAUGUGGAUUAAUUCGAUGCACGCGAAAA
rnacentral:rRNA from 1 species